UACCAGCUCCCUGAGUGGUAAGGACGAUUAUUUGGCCUAAAGCGUCCGUAGCCGGCUUAUCAAGUCUCUUGUUAAACCCAAUGAUUCAAUCAUUGAUCUGCAAGAGAUACUAUUAUGCUAGAGGACGGGAGAGGUCGACGGUAGUCCAGGGGUAGGGGUGAAAUCCUAUAAUCCUUGGAGGACCACCAGUGGCGAAGGCGGUCGACUAGAACGUGCCUGACGGUGAGGGACGAAGGCUGGGGGGAGCGAACCGGAUUAGAUACCCGGGUAGUCCCAGCUGUAAACGAUGCGGGCUAGGUGUUGGGGUAGCUACGAGCUACUCCAGUGCCGCAGAGAAGUUGUUAAGCCCGCCGCCUGGGGAGUACGGCCGCAAGGCUGAAACUUAAAGGAAUUGGCGGGGAGCACCACAAGGGGUGAAGGCUGCGGUUU
rnacentral:rRNA from 1 species